rnacentral:rRNA from 1 species
UACGUAGGGGGCUAGCGUUGUCCGGAAUCAUUGGGCGUAAAGAGCGUGUAGGCGGCCCGGUAAGUCCGCUGUGAAAGUCGGGGGGCUCAACCCUCGAAUGCCGGUGGAUACUGUCGGGCUAGAGUGCGGAAGAGGCGAGUGGAAUUCCUGGUGUAGCGGUGAAAUGCGCAGAUAUCAGGAGGAACACCAAUUGCGAAGGCAGCUCGCUGGGACGUAACUGACGCUGAGACGCGAAAGCGUGGGGAGCAAACAGG